CGAGCACGCGCGUGUGGCAUAUCAAUAAGCGGAGGAAAAGAAACUAACAAGGAUUCCCUUAGUAACGGCGAGUGAAGCGGGAAGAGCUCAAAUUUGAAAUCUUCAAGGUUCUACCUUGACGAAUUGUAGUUUAUAGAAGUGUUUUCUGUUAGUAGAGUGGCAAAAGUUCUUUGGAAUAGGACAUCAUAGAGGGUGAGAAUCCCGUAUUUGGUCAUUCCUUCUAGCGUUGUGAUACACUUUCAACGAGUCGGAUUGUUUGGGAAUGCAGUCCAAAAUGGGUGGUAAAUUUCAUCUAAAGCUAAAUAUUGGCGAGAGACCGAUAGCGAACAAGUACCGUGAGGGAAAGAUGAAAAGAACUUUGAAAAGAGAGUUAAACAGUACGUGAAAUUGUCAAAAGGGAAGCGUUUGACACCAGUGUUGUUUUUCCGAAAAUCAAUUACGAAUGUUUUGUUUUUGAGAAGUUAUGACUUCAUCGGCUUGCUUCUUUCUUUACGAAACUUUCUUAAUGCACUUUUCGGUUAACAAGUCAACAUCAAUUUCUUUUGUUGUAAAAGGGUAUGAGGAAGGUGGCUUUCUUUUCGGAGAAAGUGUUUAUAGCCUUGUGCCUCUGCAAUCGGAGAGAUUGAGGUCUGCAGCGUAGAUCCUUCGGGGUUAGAUACGUUUGUGCUAAGUUAUAGCUUUUCAUAGACAACUUGUUGACUAUGUUUAGUCUUGUAGCUUACUCGCUUACGCUAUUUUACCUACGCUUAGGAUGUUGAUGUGAUACUGCGAGCA
rnacentral:rRNA from 1 species